CCUUGUCUCUAGUUGCUACGAAAGGGCACUCUAGAGAGACUGCCGGUGACAAACCGGAGGAAGGUGGGGAUGACGUCAAGUCCUCAUGGCCCUUAUGGGUAGGGUUUCACACGUCAUACAAUGGUGCAUACAGAGGGUUGCCAAGCCGCGAGGUGGAGCUAAUCCCAGAAAAUGCAUCGUAGUCCGGAUCGUAGUCUGCAACUCGACUACGUGAAGCUGGAAUCGCUAGUAAUCGCGGAUCAGCAUGCCGCGGUGAAUACGUUCCCGGGUCUUGUACACACCGCCCGUCACACCAUGGGAGUGGGCUUUACCAGAAGUAGUUAGCCUAACCUCAUAGGAGGCCGAUUACCACGGUAUGGGUUCANGACUGUGGUGAAGUCNCNACUAAGGUAGCCGUAUCGG
rnacentral:rRNA from 1 species